AGUGAACGCUGGCGGUAGGCCUAACACAUGCAAGUCGAACGGCAGCACAGUAAGAGCUUGCUCUUACGGGUGGCGAGUGGCGGACGGGUGAGGAAUACAUCGGAAUCUACUUUUUCGUGGGGGAUAACGUAGGGAAACUUACACUAAUACCGCAUACGACCUACGGGUGAAAGCAGGGGAUCUUCGGACCUUGCGCGAUUGAAUGAGCCGAUGUCGGAUUAGCUAGUUGGCGGGGUAAAGGCCCACCAAGGCGACGAUCCGUAGCUGGUCUGAGAGGAUGAUCAGCCUCACUGGAACUGCGACACGGUCCAGACUCCUACGGGAGGCAGCAGUGGGGAAUAUUGGACAAUGGGCGCAAGCCUGAUCCAGCCAUACCGCGUGGGUGAAGAAGGCCUUCGGGUUGUAAAGCCCUUUUGUUGGGAAAGAAAAGCAGCAGGUUAAUACCCCGCUGUUCUGACGGUACCCAAAGAAUAAGCACCGGCUAACUUCGUG
rnacentral:rRNA from 1 species